UCAGACGAUGCGUCAUGCAUAUCAAUAAGCGGAGGAAAAGAAACUAACAAGGAUUCCCUUAGUAACGGCGAGUGAAGCGGGAAGAGCUCAAAUUUGAAAUCUUGAAAGGUCACCUUUCACGAAUUGUAGUUUAAAGAAGUGUUUUCUGUUACGAUCGUAACAUAAGUUCUUUGGAAUAGGACAUCACAGAGGGUGAGAAUCCCGUCUAUGAUUGCGAUUUGUAGCUUUGUGAUACACUUUCAAAGAGUCGGGUUGUUUGGGAAUGCAGCCCAAAACGGGAGGUAAAUUUCUUCUAAGGCUAAAUAUUGGCGAGAGACCGAUAGCGAACAAGUACCGUGAGGGAAAGAUGAAAAGAACUUUGAAAAGAGAGUUAAAUAGUACGUGAAAUUGUCAAAAGGGAAGCGUUUAACACCAGUGUUGUUUUCUGAAAAUCAACCUCUGUUAGCUUUAUGCAUGUUUGUUUAGACCUAAUCAGCUAUCUUGCAUGUUCUAUUGUUUGCAGUGGUGCACUUUUCAGUUUACAGGUCAACAUCAGUUUUUUUUACCGUAAAAAAGUUAAAGAAAGGUAGCUCAUGGCUCCGGUCGUGAGUGUUAUAGUCUUUUUCCUAUGCGGUAGGAGAGACUGAGGUCUGCAGUGUAGGCUAUUUGGCUAGAUACUCAGGUGCUAUGUGAUACCAUUUCAUAAACAACUUGUUGAUCAUGUUUUGUCUAUUGCAUACUCGCUUGUACUAUCAUACCUACGCUUAGGAUGUUGACUGAUAUGUAGUCGU
rnacentral:rRNA from 1 species